rnacentral:rRNA from 1 species
CAGAACGAACGCUGGCGGCAGGCUUAACACAUGCAAGUCGAGCGCCCCGCAAGGGGAGCGGCAGACGGGUGAGUAACGCGUGGGAAUCUACCCUUUUCUACGGAAUAACGCAGGGAAACUUGUGCUAAUACCGUAUGAGCCCUUCGGGGGAAAGAUUUAUCGGGAAAGGAUGAGCCCGCGUUGGAUUAGCUAGUUGGUGGGGUAAAGGCCUACCAAGGCGACGAUCCAUAGCUGGUCUGAGAGGAUGAUCAGCCACAUUGGGAUUGAGACACGGCCCAAACUCCUACGGGAGGCAGCAGUGGGGAAUAUUGGACAAUGGGCGCAAGCCUGAUCCAGCCAUGCCGCGUGAGUGAUGAAGGCCCUAGGGUUGUAAAGCUCUUUCACCGGUGAAGAUAAUGACGGUAACCGGAGAAGAAGCCCCGGC